UACGUAGGUGGCAAGCGUUGUCCGGAUUUACUGGGCGUAAAGGGCGUGCAGGCGGUCUGUUAAGUGCAGGGUGAAAGCUCCCGGCUCAACUGGGAGAGGUCCUUGCAUACUGGCGGACUUGAGGGGGGUAGAGGAAAGUGGAAUUCCUGGUGUAGCGGUGAAAUGCGCAGAUAUCAGGAGGAACACCAAUUGCGAAGGCAGCUCGCUGGGACGUUACUGACGCUGAGACGCGAAAGCGUGGGGAGCAAACAGG
rnacentral:rRNA from 1 species